rnacentral:rRNA from 1 species
UACGUAGGGGGCUAGCGUUGUCCGGAAUUACUGGGCGUAAAGCGCGUGUAGGCGGGUUGUUAAGUCCGCUGUGAAAGCCCGGUGCUCAACGCCGGAGGGUCGGUGGAUACUGGCAGUCUUGAAGUGGCUAGGGGGAAAUGGAAUUACCGGUGUAGCGGUGAAAUGCGUAGAUAUCGGUAGGAACACCAGUGGCGAAGGCGGUUUCCUGGAGCUAACUUGACGCUGAGACGCGAAAGCUGGGGGAGCAAACGGG